rnacentral:lncRNA from 1 species
AAUGAUACAAGUUAAUAACUAUUUGGUCCAUGGUCCAUGCAUGUACCAUGGCUACAGAGAUGCCACUCCUUAUAGCUUUCGUGUGUGGGGAAACUGUGGUACAGCCUCACGCGUUGAGCUGCCCCUAACCUAACGAUCCAGACUCCUCCGACUUCACCCAGAGAUCGACGUGGUACAGUUCCGUCCACCUUGUGGUGUAAAUGGCUUCCACUAUCACUUCUUAUCGCUCCGGCCAAGACAACAAAAAGCUUCUCCUGAACAGAAUCAGAGCCAUCCAAUAGGGCCUUCUACGACCAACACAAUACUCGCAACCUCAUUGGCUACGUGCCAACGCGACCCGUUUGAAGGCAAUAGCGAAUCGAUCGAGCAACUGUGGCGCUGUCAAUUCGAACCCGACCGUUCCUGCGACGAGGAGAGAAGACUUCGAGCUGAGGAGGGGAUCGAGUGGAGGGGUGGGAGGCGUUAACGUGUGGCGUUCCCUCACCAAGUAAAGCCCACAAUUGACCGAAGCAUGAGAACGGGAUUCAAAGCACGAAGGCGGAAGUCCGUUUCUCCUGCUGUCACGAACACCUCGCUGCUGCAUUCUCCUCGGUCGUCCUCGGCCUCUUCCUCGUCCUCGUUGGAUCCACAUCAACUGACUGUGGCUCAC